rnacentral:rRNA from 1 species
ACGUAGGGGGCGAGCGUUGUCCGGAAUUACUGGGCGUAAAGGGUGCGUAGGUGGCCUUUUAAGUUGGAUGUGAAAUCCCCGAGCUUAACUUGGGUGGUGCAUCUAAUACUGGAGUGCUAGAGUGCAGGAGAGGAAAGCGGAAUUCCUAGUGUAGGGGUGAAAUGCGUAGAUAUUAGGAGGAACACCAGUGGCGAAGGCGGCUAUCUGGACUGUAACUGACGCUGAGGCGCGAAAGCGUGGGGAGCAAACAG